rnacentral:lncRNA from 10 species
UGUGUGUGUGUGUGUGUGUGUGUGCGUGUGUGUGUGUGUGUGUUUGCGUCUCUCUCUCUCUCUCUCUUCUUCUCUCUCUGUCUCUCCACCUCUCUCUCUCACCAGACAUUGGCAGGGCAAAGGAGAUCACUGUUGCCAGGAGAUUGUUUGCAUUCCCGGGUCUUUCUGGCAAGGCCUUCCUCUGAGUGGAGUCGAGCUUGCUUGUUUUGAUGAACAAGUGAUCACUCGGAGGCCCACAUAGACAGGAACUGAUGGCAGCCUCCAGCCAACAGUCAGUAAAAAAAGUGAGGCCCACAGUCCAACAGGCACAGGAAACUGAAUCCUGCCAACAACCAUGUGAGCUUAGAGGUGGAUACUUACCACUCAGCUUUCAGACGAGACCUCAGCCCUGGUUGACACUUUGAUUGCAGCCUCAUGAAAGACCUUGAAGCACCACCCCCAGUUAAGUCCUGCCUGGAUCCCUGACCCACAGACUGUGAGAUAAUAAAUGUGUGUUGUUUAA